rnacentral:rRNA from 1 species
UGCUUCUCUUGAGAGCGGCGGACGGGUGAGUAAUGCCUAGGAAUCUGCCUAGUGGUGGGGGAUAACGUUCGGAAACGGACGCUAAUACCGCGUACGUCCUACGGGAGAAAGCGGGGGAUCUUCGGACCUCGCGCCAUUAGAUGAGCCUAGGUCGGAUUAGCUAGUUGGUGAGGUAAUGGCUCACCAAGGCGACGAUCCGUAACUGGUCUGAGAGGAUGAUCAGUCACACUGGAACUGAGACACGGUCCAGACUCCUACGGGAGGCAGCGGUGGGGAAUAUUGGACAAUGGGCGAAAGCCUGAUCCAGCCAUGCCGCGUGUGUGAAGAAGGUCUUCGGAUUGUAAAGCACUUUAAGUUGGGAGGAAGGGUAGUAACUUAAUACGUUGCUACUUUGACGUUACCGACAGAAUAAGCACCGGCUAACUUCGUGCCAGCAGCCGCGGUAAUACGAAGGGUGCAAGCGUUAAUCGGAAUUACUGGGCGUAAAGCGCGCGUAGGUGGUUCAGUAAGUUGGAAGUGAAAUCCCCGGGCUCAACCUGGGAACUGCUUUCAAAACUGCUGAGCUAGAGUACGGUAGAGGGUGGUGGAAUUUCCUGUGUAGCGGUGAAAUGCGUAGAUAUAGGAAGGAACACCAGUGGCGAAGGCGACCACCUGGACUGAUACUGACACUGAGGUGCGAAAGCGUGGGGAGCAAACAGGAUUAGAUACCCUGGUAGUCCACGCC